UACGGAGGAGGCAAGCGUUAUCCGGAAUUAUUGGGCGUAAAGCGUCCGCAGGUGGCACCUCAAGUCUGCUGUCAAAGACCGGGGCUUAACCCCAGAAAGGCAGUGGAAACUGAAGUGCUAGAGUGCAGUAGGGGUAGAGGGAAUUCCCGGUGUAACGGUGAAAUGCGUAGAGAUCGGGAAGAACAUCGGUGGCGAAAGCGCUCUGCUGGACUGCAACUGACACUCAGGGACGAAAGCUAGGGGAGCGAAUGGG
rnacentral:rRNA from 1 species